rnacentral:tRNA from 1 species
AGCCGAGUGGUUAAGACGAUGGACCAGAAAUCCAUUGGGGUCUCCCCGCACAGGUUCGAAUCCUGU